GGGAAAGUGGGCUUGGAAGCUCUUGUAGGGAAGUGCUCAAAGCAGGAUGGGAACAUGUCGAAAGGACAAGUGAGCCUGCUGAAAGGAGCUCCCAUUGGCCAACUCUGGGACAAUUUGAGCAUCAAAAUAAAUCAUGAUCGUAAGUGAUUACAACCUAUUGGAUAAAAUAGGAUUCCGUGAGUCCAUGCUAAUAUAAAUGAAUAAAUAAAUGAAUGGGGAAAAGGGACAGCUCCCGUUAUGGAAGAAUGCCAACUAAUAAGAUUGAUGGAAAUCAAUCAUCACUCUGGUGGAUGGGUGUUUGAUGUGAAGCAGGAUGUUAGCCUAGUCUUAAAGUAUCUUGUGAAAAAGAUUGAUUGAUUACAAGGAGGAAAAUGGUGAAUUUAUUGAUGAGACCCUGAAAGACACCAAAGGGACCAGGUGAUCAAGAUGAGCAUCACCAUUCAUGGAAUGAGUCACAUCAUGUGCCUUCUGAUGUGAUGUGCUGAAAAGAGCACAGCAUCUUUUCUGUCACAUUCCUGCCAAGAAUGCUCAGCCUGAGUCUGGAUACGAGGGAACGUUGGAUGGACCCAGGGUGAGAGGCGUCCUACAAAAUGAAAGGUCUUCUUUAAAAUUCUUAAGCUUAGGAGAGACAGAGAUAGAUAGAAGAACUAAUUGAUUCAAGCUGAAGGAGACUUAAGAGAAAUGACACUAAAUGCAACAAAUGAUCCUGGACUGGCUCCUGUACCAGACGGGAAAAUAAACAGUUGGCAAAAAUUGAAUGAAGUCUGUGGAUUGGAUUGCAGUGUAUUCUCAAUGAUGAUUGCUUGAUUUGGACAACUAUAUUGUAACUAUGGAGAAGAAUGUCCUUGCGUGGUUAUAUGUACACCAAAGUAUUUAGGAGUGAUGAGGCAUUCUCUCUGCAUCUUGCUUUUAAAUGGUUCAGAAAAAAAAUAUUGAUAAUCUCUAAGAUCUUGGUUUCCGCUAGCCACUAUUUUGGAGAAGCUGAAAUCCAAUUCAUGAUAAAAUAAAUAGUCAAAAGUCCGUUUUUGGGUGUGGGAGGUUAUUAAUCUGUUUCCAGCUUUGUGCUGCUAAUGAUUCUCGUCCAGCACGACCACACCUUUUUGUCCAGUAGUACUACUUGAACCAUUGAGCUGGGUAGACCAUAGGGAAUAAAAUAGAUAAGGUUCUUGCUUUCGUGGAGUUUACAUUCCGGGGUGAGAGAAACAGAAAAUUUUCAAGUUUUAGAUUAGUCCAGGUAAGAACAAGUGCAGUAGAGUGAAGGAGGGUGACCUAUUUUUGUAUAGGUGCAAUUUUACACCUAUACAAAAUCAGGAUCAGCUGCUCUGAUGAGGUGACUUUUGAACAGGAUCUUGAAAGAAGUGAGGGAUCCAUGUGCCUAUUUGGGGGACCAGCUGUACCAGGAAGACGGAGCCAUAAGUACAAUGGCCCUGAGGCAAGAUUGUAUUUGAUGUACUUGAAGAACAGUGGAGAAACCAUUGAGGAUGAAGAAGAAUGAGAGAAAGAAAGAGGGAAGGAGAUGAGGUCAGAGAGAUGAGAGCAAGUAAGGAAACAAGGAGAAUAAUCAGGAGCUAUAACCAUAAUGGAGGAAACAGAGGACAGUGGCUUGUGCCAGGAAAGUGGCAAUGAACAUGGUGAGAAGGGACUGGAUCCUCAACAUAUUUUGAAGAUAGAAUAAACAGGAUUCUCUGGUACAUUUGAAAUGGGAUAGGAAAGAAGGAGAGAGUUCUCGAAGGACUUUACAGUUUGGAGUCUAAGCAACUGGCAGAAUGGAGUUGUCUUUUUCUGACAUGAAGAAGAUUGCAGGAGGAGCUGGCUGGGAUAAGAAUCAAGAGUUUUGAAUAUGUUAUAUUCAAGAUGCCUAGAGAUAUCCAAAUGGCAAUUUCAUGUACUUUGCCUCAGCACAGAGUUCCAGAAGGAAGAUGACUGGAUCCAAGCACGUGAACAGUUUCCAAGUUAUUGACACAUGCAGGAUGGGCAAAUUGCUUUUCCAAAUGUUGGCCUCCCUUAAUACACCAUGCCCUAGAGUAAUAGUCUUUGAAAUAUCACCAGAAGACAGCUUAGUGGUGAGACCUGCCUGAAGAGGGACUCUCUCUACCCAAGCAGCCCGGGCCAGAUAGAAUGAGUAGAUUUGCCCAGGGCUCUUUGGUGUAGGGAGGUAUUCUUGUUUCCAUAAAGGGUAGAAGUGAAUUUGACUUAAAUGCAUGCAACAUAUAUGUGUCUGAGUCAGAAACAAAGAGCAGCCCCAGCAGGGAAUGACAUGUUCCAUUUCUCCAAAUGUCAGCAAGUUCGACUUCCCGUACGAACCUCUCAGCCUUGACAUGCUUUAGCCUCUUGCCAGUAGUGUGCACUGCGUGUUCAAAGGGAAUUCUACCACUGACUUUUAGAAAAUGAAUUAAAACAUUUGAAAAUAAAAUCCCUCCUACAUAUAUAUAUAUCUUCAUGGCUUAAUAAAAGUUUAAUGUGGAGAAGUUUCAGUAUGCAGGACUUGAGCCAUAAUGUGUUUUUAAUUUUACAUUGAUUGAUUGCAAUUUUUUAAAAUUAAUGCCUGUUUGAUUCUUCAGUGCAGGUCCUUUCUUCACAAUACGCUCCUAAAUAACUAUCCCCAUGACUGAAAAGGAGGAAAACUCUUCGAAAAUAUAUUCCACGUGUCUCUGAAGGGGGAAGAAUCUUCAAAAUAUAAAAUAGGAGGUUCACGUGGCCUUACAUAUAAGGGCUGGCAUUAUUAUGUUAAAAAUUAAUUUCCUAUGCGGUAACAGCCUGUGGUAUUUAGUUUCCUGUGGCCCAUCCUAAGGAUAUUUCCCUCUUCUUCUUCCAUAUUUGCUUGGAGGGGAAGUGCAAUGUGCUCGAGUGGGGGAGUGGGAGCUUCGGCGGCAGACAGACCAAGAUUAGAAUCUCGGUCCUGCCACAUGGACAGUUUUCACAGUACCAAGCUGCAAUUUUCUCUUUAAAACUGGAGUGAUUACACCCCCUCCCAGGACUGCCGGAAGAUUCUAAAGGUCAACGUAUGUUGGGCACAUAAAAGAGUGAGAGAGACUCCAAGGAGAGGUCAGGACAAGAAGAGUAGGAGAAAACAGUCUAGAAAUUUUAAUGUCCAAAAAAAUGUAAAGAAAGUCAGUUUAUUUAUGUAUGUAUAUAUGGUUGCCUAGUUUGUGUUAGGUCCUGUGCUGGAUGCUAAGGAAUAGACAGGGCUCUCCUCUCAAGGAGUUUAGAAUCUAGUUUUAGAGAUGGAUAUAAUCAUCUAAGGGAAUUGUGAAGGUAGAGUGGAUAAUUUUUCAAACACACAAUAAGAAUUCAGUGAGAGCAAAUAAUUCUACAUAGAAAUGGUGAACUACAGGGAUGAUGGAACCAGGCUGAUCCUGUAACACAUGUAACACGGAUAACCGUACAGAGUACCAGGCUUGCAGAUCUCCUCCAGGAGGGCCCUCCUACUCCUGCUUAUAUUCCAAGCAUCUGCUGCAAUGUCUGGCCCACGGAAAACAUCAAUAGAUGCAUUGAAUAAUGAAUAGGAAUGAAGAGCUGCAAGUUUUGAGCACUUAGUAUAUAUGCAGGCACUAGUCUACGCACUUCACGUAGACUGUCUUAUUUCAUUCUCAGGAUGAAUUUAUGGGUCAGUAUCAUCAGUCUCAUGACACAAAUGAGGAAGCAGAGACUGAAAGUGCCUGAGGUCAUGCAACUGGCAAGUACAAGAAUGGGGCUUUUUUUUUACUGGAAGUUUGGCUCCAGGUGAUGGUCUUGAAGGCUAUCCUAUUGCAUUGCUAUUCUCUUUGCCUUAGAUAUUCACCAUCUUGAUCGUUGACUGGACUCACAUUUGUAAGUUCACUUCUUUGCCUCUUGCUAACUCUUUUGUUCAUGUCAGCGCUC
rnacentral:lncRNA from 1 species